UCGGGGGCGGGCGGGCGGCGCCGGUCGCUGUCCUGGGUGUUGAAUCCGCUGCGGCUGCCGCUCUCCGGAGCCGGGGAGGCAAAGGAAGAGCGGGCGGCAUGGAGUGAGGGCUGGCGGCGGCGGGCGGGGAGCGGGACGGCCGCCUGCGAUGGGCCAGGCAUGAUGGGGGCGCUCGGCUCCGUCCUCGCGCUGCUGCUGCCGCCGCUGCUGCAGGUCCUCGCCGCCGCCCCGCGCGGCCAGCCGCUCUCUUCCGCCGGAGCCGCCGCCGAGGCGCGGAUCGGCUGCCUGGUUGAAGAUGAUCUCUGCAAAUCUUUUGAAAUCUGUGUAAAUGAUGGAAUAUUUGGGAGAUGUCAGCGAGUGCCAGUAAGAGACAUAUACAAAUAUGACAUUUCACCUCCUGUUCUUCAGCGCCUAAGGAUCAUCCUGGAGAAGCUCUCUCACAGAGGUUUUACCUGGCAAGAUGACUAUACGCAGCAUGUUAUUGGUCAGGAACUCUCAAACAUCCACAAAGUCCACAACAGACACCCUGACAUCUUUGCACCUGAAGCAUCUGACACGGGAAGGAUUUUGGAACAGAGUGAAGAUAAUGAAAGAAAAUCUCAUCUGGAAAACGAUGUGAACUUGGCCGAAUCUCUUCAGCAAUAUCUUAAAUAUUUAGGUCUUGUCUCUCGAUCAGCAGCUACAGAUUUGUAUCCAAGGAAGAGGAACAACAAAGCUUCUGUCAAGAGCUAUGUCUAUAAUGAUCCUGUUAGGUACUACUUGAUGCAAAAACCCAAAGAAAGAGGAACUCCUUUGGCCCACACGUCAACAUCGCAUCAACAGUAUGCUGAAAAUCUCCAUGGGAUGACCUUCAACCAGCCUCUGCCAGACAAGUUCUCAGCGGAGUCAGAAGCAGGGCUUGACCAAAAAGCUCUGAUGGCUGCACUGCAUACAUACAUCACUCAGAACUUGUCAGCACAAAGCAAUGAUAAAAGCUCUCACAGUAGGACUAAAGGGUCACACAUCUAUGCUGAUAGAGUCUACUCUUCUCAAGUCAGUCCUUUUGAUGGAAGUUUUUCCAGAGGAAAAGCAGAAGAUUUCGAAAUGAAUAAACCGUUCCAGCCACAGCCUGCCACUGGAGUGCUGGGUCCAGCCCCAGAGAUGCUGAAUCAUAAAUCUGCUCCCCAGAAUGAUCCAAAGGACCCGCUGAGGGUAGUGGAUGAAACACUUAUUAAAGGUGUACUGAAGGACCUAGAGAAACACCAGGUGAAUGUGGAGAAUCUCAGCUCAACAGAACUGGAUGAGAUUGCUGAUACUAUUGCUAAUGCAAUUCAGACUGCCAGCAUUCAGGAAAAAAAUGAAGAUGGUGCUGGAAAAACUAGAGAAGAAAAAGCAGAAACAAAAAUUAAGAAAGGAGAUGCUCAAGGAAGAGCAGAAAUUCAUACUGGAUUAAUGGAAAACAGUGUUAACAUACCAGACAAUGGAGUGCCUGAAGCCAGUCCCAGAACUUAUCAAGAGGAGAACACUGCAAAAUUAAUUAAUUUCUUGAAAAAUAGUGCAUUACCUGGAAACAUGCCUAAAGACCUAAUACCCGAAGAAUCUACUAAGUCAGAAACCAAGAAAUCUGAAGACACUGACUCUUCUUCCUCAGAAGAAAUAAAUGCCGGUGUGGAAAAUGUAAAAAGUGAGACUUUCUCCAGGGAGCUGACAGCUGCAAAGAGCACCGAAUCUGACUCCAAAGACCCAAGUGAGACCCGCUACUGGAUUAAGAAUGCUUUAGUGCAGGAUGGAACCUCCUAUGAACAGCCUCAGAAAAAUGCAGGACAAGGCAUACAGCUUGAAGUGAAGUCUGCAGAAGAGAAAGAAUAUGGCUAUAUUGUGACAUUGAAAGACCCCCUGAGUGUGGAAAAGGGCCUCGAGUUAAUAAAGGAUGUGGCAGAUCUCCUGAAGCUGCAGAUGAGUGCCUUCGAUGAUGUCAACAUGCUGGGACCAGCUGUGACCUUCAGAGUGCACUCAAACCUCCAAAACAUAUCGACUGCAGAUGUUGCCAAAGCAGCAGCCAUGAACAAAGAGAAGCUUGAGAAAACGACAGGGCUGAGAAUUCUGCAGACUGGCGUGGGAGAGAAAAGCCACGUUCCGCCGCUCCCGCAGCGCGGGGAAGAGGAAGAGUCGGCCAAAUUCCUCCUCCUCACCCUCCUCUCUCUCGCCUGCAUCGCCGGGGUCCUGGCAGCUUCGGGGGUCGUCUACUGCCUCCGGCACCGCGCCCACCACCGGCUCAAGGAGAAGCUCUCGGCCCUGGGGGCUGACGCCGGCUCCGACGCUACCGCUGCUUAUCAGGAGCUAUGCCGCCAGCGCAUGGCCGUGAAGACAUCUGAUCGCCCGGAGCCCCUGCAUGCCUCUCGAAUCAAUAGUGUUUCCUCUCAGUUCAGCGAUGGGCCCAUUCCCAGCCCCUCGACUCGCAGCAGCACGUCGUCAUGGUGCGAGGAGCCAGUGCAGUCCAACAUGGACAUCUCCACCGGCCACAUGAUCUUGUCCUACAUGGAAGAUCAUCUGAAAAAUAAGAAUCGUCUGGAGAAAGAGUGGGAAGCUCUUUGUGCUUACCAGGCUGAACCCAAUGCCACUAGUGUUGCACAGCAGGAGGAAAACGUCCAGAAGAAUCGCUCCCGGGCUGUGGUACCGUAUGAUCACUCCAGGAUAUAUCUCAAAGCUGAAAAUAGCCACGACAAUUCAGACUACAUCAAUGCUAGCCCAAUUAUGGACCACGACCCCCGAAACCCGGCAUUUAUUGCCACCCAGGGCCCUCUCCCUGCUACUGUUGCUGACUUCUGGCAGAUGGUCUGGGAGAACGGCUGUGUCGUUAUUGUCAUGCUGACACCCCUCACAGAAAGCGGAGUCAAGCAGUGCUACCACUACUGGCCCGACGAAGGGUCAAACCUCUACCACAUCUACGAGGUAAACCUUGUCUCUGAGCACAUCUGGUGCGAGGAUUUCCUGGUGAGGAGCUUCUACCUGAAGAACCUGCAGACAAAUGAGACCCGCACGGUGACACAGUUCCAUUUCCUCAGCUGGAACGAUCAGAGAGUUCCUGCUUCCACAAGAUCGCUUCUGGAUUUCCGCAGGAAAGUAAACAAGUGCUACAGGGGUCGCUCUUGUCCAGUAGUUGUUCACUGCAGUGAUGGUGCAGGAAGAAGUGGAACCUAUAUUCUAAUUGACAUGGUUCUCAAUAAAAUGGCUAAAGGUGCUAAAGAGAUUGAUAUUGCUGCUACCCUGGAGCACUUGAGGGACCAGAGACCAGGCAUGGUCCAGACAAAGUAAAGCCUCGAAUCGAAGGAAAUAUAGUUUUGAAGGAAAUCAAGUCAUUUUUAGCAUCUUUGAAGUGAAGAGCUUACGCUGUGCCUAAAGCCAUGUCCUUUAUGGAUGAAGCACUGUGACUGCAUUUGUACCCUGUGGUGUGGUGAAUAUCUUACUCUGUAAUUACCAUCAGUUGUAAUAGUCUCAAAGUUUUCUGUAAUGUAUAACUGUUAAGGAUAGCUGAUAGUGGGACUGUUGUUCCUUCCAUUAGGAAUGAAACUUGUUAUUGUUAUGAUUUUCAGCGAUACAUGUAAUGAUAUUGGGGGUAUUUGCUGCAAGUUAAAGCUGCACAUAUGACCAUAAAGAAAGCUGUUCAUGACGUGGAGACCGAAUAAAUCUGAAUGUGACAGUGUAAAAUAUUGAAUGAGAGUUACAAUCCCAAACUGAAUAACUGGAGCAAAGUAACAGCACUCCUUGGUCAGGGAGAAACCGAUAGGAACGUUGCAACAUUUAGGGAGUUGAAGAUGCUGAGGGACAAAGGUGAAAUAAAUCUGUUUUGCAGGAAUCAUUGGUUCAUAACUUUUCCUGAAUCUGUUCUUAAUCAUGUUAUCUUCUCAUUAAUACUGGAAAUGAUGCUGGAAAACAGGGAGUGGGGUGACUGGGUCGGGGGGCAUCAAUUAUUAUUUACCCAUUAAGUAAGUAGAUGAAAAAUUAAGAUGAGCCGCAGCUAACCAACCCUUAUCAGCAAGUAAGACACAAAAUUGCACAAAUCUUUCUUCUGCUUUAAUUAAUCAGACUGGGAAAAAAAUGGCUGUAGCACACAGCAUCCAACGUCUCAUAUAUUUAUUCUAAGGGAAGAUGCAAGCCCUGAGCUAACUCUGUAAAUGUAGGCAGCUCUGUAGAAAUAUGGAGCUCUGAUUCUGGUUUGUUUCUCUUUUCAGAGAAAUUACAGCUUAUUGCCUUUAACAAAAGAAAAACCAGCUCCAGAAGCAAAGAGUGAGGUGAUGUGGACAACUUCUCUUAGUUAGCUCAGAAAUAGUUACCUGAGUCCCCUGAAGAGCUCACUGGAGACAUGUUUCUCCCCUCCAAACAUCUCUCUGGAAGGGCGACAGAAAAGCUAAUGUAUCCAGUGUUUUCACCCAGGAUGAAAAAUUUUCCCAGGAUGUUGCUUAUCUCGCCUCUUGCUCCUUCUUCCAUCAUUGUCAUUUUCUCAAAACCACCCAAAUCACUUACUCAAGCUAAUGUCUUGCAAAUUAUAAAUAUCUGGUUGCAUGCUAGCAAUGCACUAUCCCCAGAGAAUUUUUCUGACGGAUUUAAACAAACCCCUGUGCUUUCCCAGCUGAAUACAAAUGAGGAAUAUUAGACUCCUGGAGUAAUUUAAAACAAUGGAUUAAAAGUCAGGUUAGAAAUGCCAGUUAGAGAGUAUCCCUAGGCAAAAUAAACACCAACUUACUUUAGCGGCGUGAUUGUGUUUCCAGCAGGCAGCGCUCCACUUUUUCAAUAAGCAUGUGAGAGAUUUGUUUGCAACAUUUUGUCUUCUGGAAAGGAUCUUUAAUUCAAAAGCACUGUAUAUAAUAAACAGUAAUGAAAUUAUCAUAACGACAUUCUGCAUUUCUGAGAAGCAUAAUAGAGGGUUUGUGGUUUUGUUAUUUUUUUGCAGGGGAAUCAUAAAAUAGAAUUGAUAAGCCACAUGUGAGAGGAAAAAGUAACGAAGAAGUGUGUUUUCUGUCAUGAGAAAAAUAUUUUUCCUUUUUCCUCAAUUUUUCCACCAGCAAUCUGUAGUAUUAUGCCAUAUAUGCUGCAUGCACCUAGUUUGGUUUCCAGGGAAUUUUUAUUUGAGGUCUCAAUGAAAUUUACCAUAUUAUAUCUUCCUAAACGUAUUAUUUCUAAAUAUGUUCAUGUCACCUCUGCAUUAUAGGUGGGCUGACAACACAACAUGCCUGCCCAGCUCAAUUUUCUAGGCAAAGCCUGGACAUCUAAGUCAAUCUUGUACAUGUGAAUAGCACAUGUGAAUGAGCCCUAGAGUAUGACAAACGGAGCUCCUUUAAAAUUGCUGAAAUUCCUUUUAUCUGUCUGUGGUUGUCCUUGUGUGUAGGUGUGGGAGGGAUGUGAAGGCUUUUCUUUGGAGAGUAGGAGUAAACCUCAAUGGGAGCUGCACUGUGUUCUUCGACUGCAUGUAUUAUGCAUAAGGAAGGAGGAAGAAGAGCUCAGAUGCAGCAUCCCUGGAAGACCCAGUCCUCAAACAUCUCAUAAUCAAAUAUCUUCUUGGCUGUCUCCUUUAUGGCAACAUUUCACAAUCACUUUGGAGCUCUGGCGUAAAGAUGCUCUACGAGUUGUUUUGCCUCACUAAUUUUGGGUCACAUCUGAUGGAAGCUGGCAGUCUCCACUGAGGUUGUCUCCAAAAUGCAUAUGUGAGCUUGGAAGUUGGUGUCCAUCAAAUUCAGGGUCCUAAGGUGAAAGCUACCUUCUCCAUGGCCAGUGCAGCAAUGCCUGGUGCUGUUGUGUGAGCCAGCCCUCUGUGAGACGCAAAGACACUUAAGGGCUGAUUUGCUCAGGGAAUAAAUUAGGAGUAAUUAAGUUAUUUUAAGAAAUGGAACUAAUAUUAAAGUAUUGCAGUCCUUGAUCUUACAGGUUUUUCCUUAUGGUAAAAUGAAGGGCACAUUAGGUACCUCAUUCCAUGGGCGACAGCAGCUUCCCUCCUGAACUGUCACUAACCUCUCAGAAGAGGCAUUUGCCCAUUGUGGACACUUGGCUGCAUCACCCUGCAGCCUGGUGGUGCUUGGAUCAGCUCCCCUACUACUGUUGUGCUCCCCAUUUUGGUUCUGGCAUGGUGUGCCUGGAUGAACACCUUCUCUGCCCUCCAGCUGUGCUCACUCAUUCAUUGUGCUACGCUCAAAAUACAGCUGCUGCUCUUGGGUGGCCACCAGUAUUUCCUCAUCUCCUUUAAUUGCAGAGACCUUGAGGCAGGCACAGGCAGCCCCAAAGACCAUUUUCUGUGCCUAAUGAGGGUGAGUUCUAAUCUUUAGGGUGAAUUGAUGUGUGAUUAACAAACACUGGAUGCGGUCCAGCAAAUGUGCAAGGAUGCCACUUUGACAACACCAGGCAGAGGGCAAAAUUCUUGAACACUGGUUUCUCUGAGAAAUUAUUCUGAGUUUUAGCCUUCUUUUUCUGCUUGGUAACUGUGCCCACCAUGGCUUCCCUCUGAGGUGUCUGCACACAGGAGAUGGCUGCAGAGGGGUGAGACGAGGCAGGCGAGACUGACACUGAGGUGCAGGAGUUAAAAGUCAGUCGUCUUCCUGAAUUAUGAGUCGCUCACCUAUAGUUUGUCCUUUCAUCCUUCCUGUGGACUUCCACUGUUGAAAAUGAAUGCUGUUGGACCAGUAACCACUUUCAGGGCUGGCUGUGUUCAACAGCCAUUUGCCACUGCUGCACCCAUCCCACACAGCCCUGGGCAGCUCCUGCUGCACAUCCCUGUUCUGACUGGAGGCACAGAUGGCAUCUUGGUAGGGUUCAUCUCAGACCUCCAUUCUUAAAGUCACUUCUUCCAAAGCUCUUAACCCCAGCUGGCAUAAACCACUGGAGUACUUCUAGAAAAUCCAUACACUCCUGCACAGUCCUUGACUGCUGUCCUUGGUUUACUUGUUCUCUAAGUAAACCACACACAUUUAUUUUUCCAUCUGAAAAGAAGCAGACAGAAUAUCAUCCUGUCAGAUAUUUCAUUAAGCUAAAUUUCUGAGAAAGAUUACUUGCUCUAGAAAAUACAACACCUGCUAACCUUGAGGAAGCAAAGCUCCUUUGUCCUUCUAUAGAACCAGACAGUUUAGAAGCAUGUUAGAGUCGCAAAUAGGUGUGGUGGCUAUUGCUGCCUGUGCCCUUCACACCUCCGCUAAUUCAGCACAGAAAUCUGUUAGUGAUUUUGGUUUUAUGCUCUUGGUAAAUUAGUAGCAUAAACCUUCCUAAGUAUUUCCUAAAUAUGAAUAAAGUGGACCGAAUAUUGCUAGGUAAUUUGUGGGUGCACAAGAGCAGUUGAAAGGGAAGCUGGAAGAGAAUAAUACAAGGUAAAGCAAAAAGCAGACACUUCUCUGUUUAGUAGGCAUAAUGUGAGGAAGUAUAUAUUUAGCUGAUUUCAACUAGAAACACCUGAGAGAAGCCAAAAUUUCUCCUUUGCAGCAAAUCACCUAUUUCAUAUCUCAGUUUUGUUAAUGAGUUUCCAUCUUUGUGUCAGAAAAAAAUGGCUGGUGAUCAACUACUCCCAAAUGUUUCUGGCCAAGCAAUUGCAAUACAUCAUUGUGUCCCACUAGCUUAGUUUCUGCUACCAACAUUUUUCUCCAUUAAAAUGACUCUAGUUUCAAGAUGCUGUCAAACAUGUUGUAUGGCAUCAAUAAUCCUCAAACAUUUUGUUCCUUUCUGUUGCAACACGCAGUUCAUCCUGCAUAUUCCUAUUUUCAGCAAUGUCUUGAGGAUGCUCGACUGCAGAGUGCUCCAGGCUGUCGGAAGGUUUUUUGGUUUAUUAUUCAGGGUCAGAAAGGCUUUGCAGGCAGAUCUGGACUAAGUGGAGGGCUGGGCAAUCACCAGCCACAUGAAUUUUAAGAAGAGCAAGUCUGUAUUCUGCAUCUGGGAUGGGGCAACCCUGGCUCUAUGUACGAACAGGGGAAUGAGAGGUCGGAGAGCAGCCCCAUAGAAAGGGAUUGUGGGUUCUGCUUGUGGGCAGGUAGGAUCCAGGCCAGCAGUGUGCCCUGGAGCCAAAGGGCCAACCGUACCUUGGGGGCACCAGGCCCAGUGCUGCCACCGGGCGGAGGGAUGGGUUGUCCUGCUCUGCUCUGCACUGUGUGGCCUCAUAUGCACUGCUGGGUGCAGGUCUGGGUGUCACGAUGAGCAGUUUGAAUUUGCUUUGACAGCAGUUGCAGAGGAAGUGAAUGCAAUACUCAAGGCACUUCCCCAGUGAGCAGCUCCAUCUCCCGG